rnacentral:lncRNA from 1 species
CUGCUCAGAGCCUUUAUUCAGUUGAAGCUGCUGGGGGCUCCUGCAGCCUCGGGGAGUGUGGUGCCACUGGCACUGGAGGCAACAGAAGGCGAAGCUGUUUGGAUAGAGAAGCCAGCUGGUAGCGCAGAACCCAGAACAUCUGGUGAUCUUCAGAUGACAUCACAAGGUGCAGGGAGGCCUGGCUGAAGUUGCAAUGGGACCACUUCUGAGGACCUGAAUCUUCAAUGAUGUAAGUGAGCCAGCAGCUCCCUGUUGAAGGGACUCAGUGGUCCUGGUAGAGGACAGAACUUGUGCAAAAUCAUAGAGACCAGAGAGCCUCCCAUGCUGCAGGAAAUGAGUCUAGGCCACCACUCCUGUCUGGGACCUGGGUCUUCUACUGUGUCCUCCUGGUUUUCCAGCACAGCUGGACCCUGAGCUUUGCUCUAGCCAUCCCCUCCACAGAGUGCCUGAAGUUCUCCACCGUCACCUCACAGAACCCCACUCACCCUCCCCAGCUUUAGUGGAAUGACCUGUGGGUGACCACGUCAUCUGUCAAUCUCUAAUAAGGCUGAUGCCCGAGCAGACAUGAAUGUUCCAGUCAUCACAGCAAUAGCCAGCCUGGAAUCCAG